rnacentral:rRNA from 1 species
GCCAGACUCCUACGGGAGGCAGCAGUGGGGAAUAUUGCACAAUGGGGGAAACCCUGAUGCAGCAACGCCGCGUGAGUGAAGAAGUAUUUCGGUAUGUAAAGCUCUAUCAGCAGGGAAGAAGAAGGACGGUACCUGAAGAAGAAGCCCCGGCUAACUACGUGCCAGCAGCCGCGGUAAUACGUAGGGGGCAAGCGUUAUCCGGAUUUACUGGGUGUAAAGGGGGCGCAGACGGCGAUGCAAGCCAGGAGUGAAAGCCCGGGGCCCAACCCCGGGACUGCUCUUGGAACUGCGUGGCUGGAGUGCAGGAGGGGCAGGCGGAAUUCCUGGUGUAGCGGUGAAAUGCGUAGAUAUCAGGAGGAACACCGGUGGCGAAGGCGGCUUACUGGACCAUAACUGACGUUGAGGCUCGAAAGCGUGGGGAGCGAACGGGAUUAGAUACCCUAGUA